UCAUCACAGCAUCUGCCAAAUAAGAAGAAAAAAAAAAGCACAAGAAAAGCUUAACAUAUUUUUUUUACUUUAAUUACACUAAUUGUGACAGGGAGUCAUUCUCUUUUACUUGGAUGCCAACUAAAAACAAAAACGAGAUAUAUAACCAAUAAUUACAAUU